AAUCUUCCACAAUGGGUGCAAACCUGAUGGAGCAAUACCGCGUGAAUGAAGAAGGUCUUCGGAUCGUAAAGUUCUGGUAUUAGAGAAGAACAAGUCAAGAAGUAACUGUCUUGACUUUGACGGUACCGAACCAGAAAGUCACGGCUAACUAAGUGCCAGCAGCCGCGGUAAGACGUACGUGACAAGCGUUGUCCGGAAUUAUUGGGCGUAAAGGGAGCGCAGGCGGUUGGAAUAGUCUGAUGUGAAAGCCCACGGCUUAACCGUGGAAGGUCAUUGGAAACUGUCCAACUUGAAUGCAGAAGAGGUAAGUGGAAUUCCAUGUGUAGCGGUGAAAUGCGUAGAUAUAUGGAGGAACACCAGUGGCGAAGGCGACUUACUGGUCUGUGAUUGACGCUGAGGCUCGAAAGCGUGGGUAGCGAACA
rnacentral:rRNA from 1 species